rnacentral:rRNA from 1 species
UGGGGAAUAUUGCGCAAUGGGCGAAAGCCUGACGCAGCGACGCCGCGUGAGGGAUGAAGGUUUUCGGAUCGUAAACCUCUGUCAGAAGGGAAGAAACCGCACUGUGCUAAUCAGCAGUGCCUUGACGGUACCUUCAAAGGAAGCACCGGCUAACUCCGUGCCAGCAGCCGCGGUAAUACGGAGGGUGCAAGCGUUAAUCGGAAUUACUGGGCGUAAAGCGCACGUAGGCUGCUUUGUAAGUCAGGGGUGAAAUCCCACGGCUCAACCGUGGAACUGCCUUGGAUACGGGGUAGCUUGAAUCCGGGAGAGGGUGGCGGAAUUCCAGGGGUAGGAGUGAAAGCCGUAGAUAUCGGGAGGAACAUCAGGGGCGAAGGCGGCCACCUGGACCGGUAUUGACGCUGAGGUGCGAAAGCGGGGGGAGCAAACAGG